ensembl:lncRNA
UGAAGACAUAAGAUCAGAGAAUGGUUGGGAGGAGGUUAGAAGCAGUAACAUGGAUUGUAGUAAGAACAUGAGUCGAGAUGAAAUUGGCCAGCAGCUGAAUAAAAGAAAAUGAAGUUCCAUUAAUACAAUCCAUCGAAAGACAACUCAGGGUCAUCUUGGCAUGUCGAAAUUGACCACCACACAUCGAAGGGACAUUGGUAGCAGUGCCUCAACUUCUGGAGGCAGCCCAAGCCUCUGCCUUUGUGCCUUCGCACAAAGUACGAAUGGUGAAAAUACAUCUCAAUUUUGACUGAGAAUGAAGAAGUCCGACCGCUCUACUAAGUAGCAUCACAUGAGAUACCUCUAUCUCUCAGAACUUUUCCAAUGCUCAUCACGUUUUUAAGCACUGAUCAGUGAAAAAAACUGAAGUCCAUUUUUUCUAGAACCUGAUCACCACCUGUCUGAAUGAAGAAACAGAGGGCUGUGUAAAAGUAAUGCCUUUGGCAACACAUACAUCGCUAAGAUCAUCUCACAUCUUCAUCUUAUCAUGUAAAGGUUUUUUCAAGCUUUGAGAACAGUGAAAACCUCAUUACGAGCUGAAAACUGAUUCGGAUUUCAAUGUUGACAAUGAAAAUAUUGUUUAUGGAAUUGCUGAAUACUCAGAUAAUGUCUAUAAAGCAACAGCCUACUCGACCAACUGUAGGCCAAGGGUAAAGGAGUAAUAUAAUUACGUCAUUCUUCACUUAUUACGGCCUUUUCCCUCUAUGUGCAUACCGAGAGAGAAGGAAAGAACUGUGAGAUGUGGUUGCUUCUGUCAUCUCCCCACUUGAUUUCAGAACACAUGUGGGUUUCCUUUUUCUCAUGUAUCAUUUGGUGGUAUUCAAAAGAUAUAAGAGGCAGUGCAGAAGAUGUGAUCGAAGGAGUAUUCCUAGUCAGCCUUUACGUUCUUGUAAUGAAAGAUGUGAAGAACCACCAGAGAAUGAAGGAAAAGCUUCCUUGGACAUUAAUAGGUUGACUGCUAUGUCGCUGAACUUGGUGCAUGAAAGGUCAGCCUUUGAAACGCUAAAUAAGUUGAAGAAGAUGUAUGAAGUAUAUACGGAAAAGUAUGCAUCCUACAGUAGCAUUUGUAUUAAAGGACCGCUUUGUGGGAGGAUUAACUCUGAUGGAGGACAGAGCAACCAGCCACCAGUAUCCUUCAUGGCAGAGUCAGGCCUCCUGUGUCCCUGGGAAAUGCCACCUGAAAUAUCCCCCUGCACACCAGCCUUUAAAAGGGAAUUUUGCAGUGUCACAGUAGCUGAGAGCAGAUCUCUCCCUACUUUGGUAGCCGUAACAGACUCAGGAGUUUAUGCUCCUGAGCACUCUCCUGCAGAAUGAGCUAUGUGCUUCCUGGAGCUAUGAAGAGUCCAGAGAAGACAUAAGGUAACUACAGAGCGGCUUCCUCAGGAGUGGUUUGUGUCUCUAUUGAAGUACUUCAGGAUGACAGAAGAGACUUUCAAUCGUACCAGCUGCAAUAACUGACGUCUUCACUUCUAAGAGGCCCGCUCAGUUCAUCAUACCCAGUCAGCAUUGGGAUGAAGGAGGACGGCACUGUCAUGAUGAGAACACUGUGAAGGAGGAUGGCACUGUCAUGAUGAGAACACUGUGUCCUUAGAAGAUGAAGCCUUCAACACUGAACCUUAAAACCAAGCCAUCCAGCUCCUGCCAGGUCCUUGUGGUUGCCUGUGGCUCCAUGGAACUGCCACAUCAAGUAAUGAACCUCAAGGUGAACCAAACCAGGAUACCACACACAUCACACCAGCCCUCCUUUGGGAAAUGCAGACCUGUCCCAGGAGUUUCAGGCAUCCUGUGUUCAUCCUGCAUCGCCUCGUUGAAGAAGUAAAACUACCUGCUGCUGAGAACUCUGAAAAGGAGCUGCAAACGUCGAGGUUCAGAGGAACCAGGAAUCCUGGCCUGCCAUCUGUACAGCCCGCUGACCUCCAGGUGGAUGUGUGAAGCAAGGAGCUGUGCCCUGGAAGCCCCAGAUGAGUGUGUGGGUCAUGUGCUGCAAGCUCCCAGGUAACCCUGCACAGCUCACAAGCACAGGCUGUGAGCCCUGUGGCACUGAGUGUCCAUUCUUGCCAGUACAGGUAACAAACUGGUCUCUGUCAGUGCUGAAAUACCGCUUCAGAUGCUUAACGUGUUCUGAACUGUUUGUUUUUCAAGGUAAGGAAGAAUGAGACCUUUAUGCUUUCUUUGUCUGGAAAUAUAUGUAUGCAUAUAAUUAUAAAAAAUAGCCCUGGUCAUUCACACAAACAGAAUAAUUGAAACAGCAUUAAUAGCUAUUAGCUCAGCGAUGAGAAGGCCCUGUUUAGUGAGGCUAAAGGAUGCAAGAGGAAACAAUUGGAAUUCCUCAAGACGAGCUCCCUCUCACAGCACACCCCAUCCAAAACCUCCUCCUUAACGGCUGCCCGGCUGACUUUAAACUGCCAACACCGACAAAAAGGGGAUGUUGCAUCUUUUAUAAACAGCCUUUUGUUUGCCGUUCUGACACCUGCGAAAAGCAAAAUUGUUAUUUUCUUGCUGCUUGUUGCUAGUUUGAUGCCCGCUCUGGGGCCCUACAUCAGAGACACUGUUCAAAACAGGUUGCAGGGGUCCGUUUCCGUGCUGUCUGCCGAUGGUGCUGCCUGAAGGAAAACCAUGGAAACGGAGUUUGACAGGCUCACAGGGACCCACGGCUGCCAGAGCCGCUGCCUUUGAGCGCCUGAUGAAGACAUCACAGAGCAAACACAACAUUAAAACGCUGCUGGCUGCUUUGCAUCACUUAGAAUGCAAAUCUCUUUGUUCUGCUCGGCCCUUGCGUUUUGUAGCCGAGGAAUCUGUGCUAUCAUCUAACAUGGAUUUGCUGACCUUUCUUCCCUCGCUGUCCGUUCUCCUAAAAAAAAAAAAAAUAUUUAAAAAAUAUUGUAAAAGAUCAGCUUUUGUGGGAAGGAGGGUGGCGUGGGUCUGUGCAUUUGAAAUGGCCCCAGUUUUUUUCAGUUCCUGGGAUUUCUGUGCACAAAUUAAACACCCAUAUUGCAGAGCAGGCUGGGUUGGGUUGCUUUGUUGCUCCCUGUGUAUUAUUUGACUUGGAUUCAUUUACAUGGCAACUCACAGGGGUAGAUUUUAUGUCAUCUUUAUGCCACAGAUUAAAAGGUAAAAGUAAUCCUUUAUUUGCACAGCACAUCCCCUCCAACCCUUUAAGCCGUACAGAUGAAAAUAGAGGAGAAAAAUGCAAACUCUCCCACCACCAUAAUGCCUACUUUAUAACUUUUUAUGCUAAAUUUAAGUGUGUGGUUAUUAUUCCGCCCUCCAUUUGUAGGUGGCCUGUACUUUUAACUGCAGUUUCUGAUUGCAGUCACUGUCAGACCUUUGAAAUGCCCCACACCUUUGUGCUCAGAUGUGGGAUUUGGGUGGCUCCUGACAGGCUGAGCUAUGCAUGGGGCCAUCAGGAAGGCUUUUUUGCUGAUUGGAGGAACCAUUGUGAGCAUCUGCAGUAGGAAAUAGCUGCUGGGGAGAGGCAAACAAACUGGCUAUUCUCUCAGAAGUGAUAAUUUAUCAUUUCAUUCUCCCUAUGCUGCAUAACUCACACAUUACUUACGCUGAGAGAGGGCUAUCAUCACUAAACUGGAAAC